rnacentral:rRNA from 1 species
UACGUAGGUGGCAAGCGUUGUUCGGAAUUACUGGGCGUAAAGAGCGUGUAGGCGGCCAGGUAGGUCUGCUGUGAAAACUCGAGGCUCAACCUCGAGACGUCGGCGGAAACCAUCUGGCUAGAGUCCGGAAGAGGAGAGUGGAAUUCCUGGUGUAGCGGUGAAAUGCGCAGAUAUCAGGAAGAACACCCGUGGCGAAGGCGGCUCUCUGGGACGGUACUGACGCUGAGACGCGAAAGCGUGAGGAGCGAACAGG